AUUGAACGCUGGCGGCAGGCCUAACACAUGCAAGUCGAGCGGAUGAAGGGAGCUUGCUCCUGGAUUCAGCGGCGGACGGGUGAGUAAUGCCUAGGAAUCUGCCUGGUAGUGGGGGAUAACGUCCGGAAACGGGCGCUAAUACCGCAUACGUCCUGAGGGGGAAAGUGGGGGAUCUUCGGACCUCACGCUAUCAGAUGAGCCUAGGUCGGAUUAGCUAGUUGGUGGGGUAAAGGCCUACCAAGGCGACGAUCCGUAACUGGUCUGAGAGGAUGAUCAGUCACACUGGAACUGAGACACGGUCCAGACUCCUAAGGGAGGCAGCAGUGGGGAAUAUUGGACAAUGGGCGAAAGCCUGAUCCAGCCAUGCCGCGUGUGUGAAGAAGGUCUUCGGAUUGUAAAGCACUUUAAGUUGGGAGGAAGGGCAGUAAGUUAAUAACUUGAUGUUUUGACGGUACCAACAGAAGAAGCAAAGGAUAACUUCGUG
rnacentral:rRNA from 1 species